rnacentral:rRNA from 1 species
UACGGAGGGGGCUAGCGUUGUUCGGAAUUACUGGGCGUAAAGCGCACGUAGGCGGCUUUGUAAGUUAGAGGUGAAAGCCCAGGGCCUAACCCUGGAAGUGCACUCGAAACUGCUCGGCUUGAAUAUGGAAGAGGGUCGCGGAAUUCCCGGUGUAGAGGUGAAAUUCGUAGAUAUCGGGAGGAACACCAGUGGCGAAGGCGGCGACCUGGGCCAAUAUUGACGCUGAGAUGCGAAAGCGUGGGGAGCAAACAGG